UGCCCGUUGGUCAAAUGGUUAAGACGCCACUUUCUCAAAGUGGAAUUAUGGGUUCAAUUCCCAUACGGGUGA
rnacentral:tRNA from 1 species